rnacentral:SRP_RNA from 1 species
GGAAUGCAGCAGCGGCGAGGAGGCCGGCGCAGGUGUUG